rnacentral:lncRNA from 1 species
CAAAAGGGCUGUCUGUUGUUUUUAUUCAGAAGGAAAAUGACAGCUGAUGGAGCAGCCUGGAGUGCUUCCUUGGUCUCUGAUAAUCUUAAGAAGUCACUGCUGGAAGUUUUGGAGGAUGUGAGGACAUCCAACUACUUGGAGUUUGCUCAUCAGGUCCAGCAAGGGGAGUCAGAAUGCUCAAUUGUGACUAUAUAAUCUGCAUAUCAAGCUGAAUACUCCGGGGAUUUGUUAUUCUGUUCAACAAAGCCUAAUAUGCCUUCCUGGUCAGUAUGUGACUGCACCUGGAUUGUCUACUGCAU